rnacentral:rRNA from 1 species
AAAUGAAUUGACGGGGGCCCGCACAAGCAGUGGAGUAUGUGGUUUAAUUCGAAGCAACGCGAAGAACCUUACCAGGGCUUGACAUCCUCUGACCGCUCUAGAGAUAGAGUUUUCUCUUCGGAGACAGAGAGACAGGUGGUGCAUGGUUGUCGUCAGCUCGUGUCGUGAGAUGUUCGGUUAAGUCCGGCAACGAGCGCAACCCUUAUUGUUAGUUGCCAUCAUUAAGUUGGGCACUCUAGCGAGACUGCCGUUGAUAAAACGGAGGAAGGUGGGGACGACGUCAAAUCAUCAUGCCCCUUAUGUCCUGGGCUACACACGUACUACAAUGGUAACAACAACGAGCAGCUAAGCCGCGAGGUGGAGCGAAUCUUUAAAUGUUACCUCAGUUCAGAUUGCAGGCUGCAACUCGCCUGUAUGAAGCAGGAAUUGCUAGUAAUGGCAGGUCAGCAUACUGCCGUGAAUACGUUCCCGGGCCUUGUACACACCGCCCGU